GAUCAUUGUCCUGAUUUCAGUGCUUUUAAAUUUAUUGAUAUUUUUAUGGCUUUAAAAUGGCAAGUCCUGUAGAAUGUUUCCUACACAGUGGAGAAAAAUAUGUAUUCUACUCUUUGGGGCAGAAUAUUCUGUAUAGUCCUGUAGACCUAGUGUAGUUAUAUUGUUGUUCAAGUCAGUUUGUUUUACAUGGAUUUUUGCUAGUCAUUUCAUUCUUUCUUGAAAGUGGGAUAUCACAAAUGAUCCAGCACUUUUUGUAGAUUUUUUUUCCUUUUAAUCCUGAUAGUUUUCACUUCACAUAUUUUGGAACACUGUUUUUAGACAUGUAUACAUUCAUAACUUAGUUUUUGAGAUUGCCCACUCUAUUGAUAUAUAUUCUAUAUCUUAAUUUUUAUCACAAAUAUGCAUAUAUUUAAUAUAUAAUUCAGUCUAUGUAAUUACAAGUAUAUAUCAUGUUCUUGCCUCUAUCUAACAAUUUCUGUUACAGAUGAUUUUGUCUCACAUGUGCAGAGCCCUCCAGCUGUUUUCUUUUUUGUUUUUAUUUGUUUGCUUGUUUUUUUCUUGUACUGGUGGUUUUACCCAGGAGCACUUUACAACUGAGACCUGUCCCCAGCCAUUUUUAUAUUUUAUUUGGAGGUAGGGCCCGACUAAGUUGCAGGGAGUCACCCGUGAAUUACUUGGGGGUCUUCUCUCAUCAUGGGGCCAUGGAGAUUUAGGUUUUACCUUGGGAAAUAUCGGCAGCACCCCCAAGCACAAUAGAUUGCCCAAGGCACAUGGCAUCUAAAAGUUACUAGGUGAUAUUCAUUGGCUGUGACCAAGUUUAAAAUUAGCCACUGUAGAUUUCAGUCCUCUGUUUCAGAUUGCCCAGGGAGAUCCUUCUGUACUUUCUCAACUUAUGGCAGAAAAAAGGAUUGCCAUAAGAAAGGUUGAAUCUGCCAUGGAGACUGCACAGCUUACUAGAAUUAAUCCACAAGAGCCUGUAUAUUGACGAACAUUUUCCAAUGUUCAUACUCCUACAGGAGCCAUAUGGCAAUAAUUGGGAAUUAUUGAGUGGCCUUGAUGAGAGAUAUCAAACAUGCUUCUUUAUAUUUUACUUUUAAUUUUGGAGGUUAUGAGGAUGCAUUUGCUCACCACAGGAACAAAGCCAGGAAUGUUCCUGUGAUGACCAAAAAAUCCUUAUUCUCAUUCCUAACUAUAAAAAAUAAAUAUGUAUACUCAAGGAUUUUAUUUCAGUUACAUCAAGUGACGUCACAUAGAAGAGUGCACUCCUAGUUAAAAAUAAAUUAAAAUGGAUCCAAAUAUUUUAAGACCACGUGGUUACAUAAAGUUAAUAUAAUUAUAGGUUAUGUUCUUAUUCUUAAUAUAUAUUUUUUUAGAUAUUUAGAUAGCCUAUAUUUGUUAAUCUAUAAAAUAAUUAGCACAUGCCUAAUUGAUUAGUUAAUAUAUAUUUGCCUAAUUGUUUUUCUUCAAC
rnacentral:lncRNA from 1 species